CGGAAACGGCUUCAACGGAACAGACUUACCAAAGAGCAACUGAAACAGAUUCCUACUCAUGAUUAUCAAAAAGGUAAGGGCAGGGUUGGGGAUUUUAGCUCAGUGGUAAGUGCAAGGCCCUGGGUUCAGUCCCCAGCUCCGAAAAAAAAGAGAAAAAAAAGGGUAAGGGCACUGGAAUGGGACCCUUUCUCCUGGCUGCCCUCGCCUUGAAGGAUUUUUGAGCCCAGUAAGUAGACCAAGGGUUCAAAGAGCCAGAAAGAUGCCCCCUUUGGUUGUUUCUUACCAACAACUAACCACAAGCAAAGGAGCUAGGGUAGGACGGGCUAGAAAGCAAAGAUGAACAAAGGAAAUUUCUGGCCUUGUGUAUGGGGGUGUAGAGUAAGAUGUAAAGAGCUGAAAGAACUCAGAGCAGGUGAGGGCUUGGGUUUUCUAGACUUGUAGCCUCUAGGACCAUAUAAGGUUAUAGCAAAAGCCUUGCCCCUCCCAGUUCUGCUUCCCCACCCCCACAACCCACUUCCCUUAUCUCUGCUUGUCCCCUCUAGCCCCAAGGUUUUAUGUGCCCUAAGUUUGCACUGGCAUAAAAAACUGGGGAAAUAAGCCUUGUGUAGUGAGCUUUCUUAGGUUUGAUUCCCAGCAGCUCAAAAUCCUUUCCCUUUCCCAGGAGAUGAGUAUGAUGUCUGUGCCAUCUGUCUGGAUGAGUAUGAGGACGGGGA
rnacentral:lncRNA from 1 species